CUAGAUAAAAUACAUAAUGGAGGACAAGAAUAAAGGGAGGAUAAUUCAAUAUCUUUGGGAAAUAUGUUGCUUCUUGCUGAUGCUUUAGGUAAAAUAUGUGUCAAACAUCAUGAAUAAGCUUAAAAAUAUUUGUAUUAAAUGUCUUGAGCAGGAACACAGUUAAAAUAACAUUUGAAAGAAUAGACAUGCCAAUUGUGGAAAAUAAUGUAAUUGACAAUUUUU
rnacentral:lncRNA from 1 species